rnacentral:rRNA from 1 species
UACGUGAGGGGCAAGCGUUGUCCGGAUUUAUUGGGCGUAAAGAGCGUGUAGGCGGUUUGGUAGGUCCGCUGUGAAAACUCGAGCUCAACCUCGAGACGCCGGUGGAAACCAUCAGACUAGAGUCCGGAAGAGGAGAGUGGAAUUCCUGGUGUAGCGGUGAAAUGCGCAGAUAUCAGGAAGAACACCCGUGGCUAAGGCGGCUCUCUAGUACGGUACUGACGCUGAGACGCGAAAGCGUGGGGAGCGAACAGG